AUCAGACAGCAAUGGUGAACAGAAAGAGGAACAAUUCGCAUUUCAAGUGACCCUUCCUCAAAACGGUCUGUUCUGAAGGAACUUUUCUGCAGAAAUCACUGGAUUGAAAGGUGCUGCAAGACCUGCUGAGCAUUUCCAACAACAUGUGAACGUUUAAAGGGAGUUGUGUCAGGAGGAGGGUGUCGCUGGCCCGGCAGCAUUUACUGCCCAUCCCUAAUUGCCCAUAGGGCAGGUAAGAGUCGACCACAUUGCUGUGGGUCUGAGGUCACAAUGUAGGCCAGACCAGGCUACUUCGAUGUCACCUUCAGGAGCGUGAAGCAAUGCCAGCAGCUCCUGAAGGUCUUCAAGGAAAAGGAGGGGAAGCCGCUGUUCUCCAUCUUGUCAGCGGUCCCGCUGUGUGUGCUUCCUGCACAGAGGAGUCGGGUUGUCAUGAUCCACACGUACAACCCCUAUGUUCAAGCAACUGAUGUCCUGACGUUCCUGAGGAGAUAUGUGUAGGUUGAGGGAGAAAGCACUGACUGGCACAUUCCAAGGUCCAGGACUACAUGUUGAGGGACGCGCUGAAGCUUGGGGCAGCUGCCGCCAAAGCAUGGUGGGGAAAGACCACCAUGUAGCAUCUGCCUGCCUAAGAAGAACAGGGGGCCCACGUAGUCAUUUGGGCUCUGCUGGCACCUCAGCUCAAAAUAUAAUCAUACCGACCUGUAAAUAGGAAUGAUUACUCUGUUUCGAUAUGAAAAGAAAUGGAAUGGUUACCUAUGUACUACGGCAU